rnacentral:rRNA from 1 species
GGUGAACGCUGGCGGCGUGCCUAAGACAUGCAAGUCGAGCGGGCCGCGGGGUUUUACUCCGUGGUCAGCGGCGGACGGGUGAGUAACGCGUGGGUGACCUACCCGGAAGAGGGGGACAACCCGGGGAAACUCGGGCUAAUCCCCCAUGUGGACCCGCCCCUUGGGGUGUGUCCAAAGGGCUUUGCCCGCUUCCGGAUGGGCCCGCGUCCCAUCAGCUAGUUGGUGGGGUAAUGGCCCACCAAGGCGACGACGGGUAGCCGGCCUGAGAGGGUGGCCGGCCACAGGGGCACUGAGACACGGGCCCCACGCCUACGGGAGGCAGCAGUUAGGAAUCUGCCGCAAUGGGCGCAAGCCUGACGGAGCGACGCCGCUUGGAGGAAGAAGCCCUUCGGGGUGUAAACUCCUGAACCCGGGACGAAACCCCCGACGAGGGGACUGACGGUACCGGGGUAAUAGCGCCGGCCAACUCCGUG